UACGUAGGAGGCUAGCGUUGUCCGGAAUCAUUGGGCGUAAAGAGCGUGUAGGCGGUCCGGUAAGUCCGCUGUGAAAGUCCAGGGCUCAACCCUGGGAUGCCGGUGGAUACUGUCGGGCUCGAGUCCGGAAGAGGAGUGUGGAAUUCCUGGUGUAGCGGUGAAAUGCGCAGAUAUCAGGAGGAACACCAAUGGCGAAGGCAGCACUCUGGGACGUGACUGACGCUGAGACGCGAAAGCGUGGGGAGCAAACAGG
rnacentral:rRNA from 1 species